GCACAGCUCGCCCGGCAGCCCCAAAGCAGCCCCAAAAGGGCUGGGGUUCGGCCGGCGGGGGGCUGCCUGCCCCGGGGAGGGGUGUGGGGACGUGAGGAGAGGGUUGGGAGGCGGUCGUGGCGCUUUGUGGGGAUUUUGGUGGGGCUUUGCAAAAUGGCUUAGCAAAAUGGCUCUUUUUCUUCUUUUCUUUUCAGAGGGGAAAACUUUUCUUUCUUUAGAGCGACGCUGUAAGCUGAUAUGCCUCGGUUCAGGAGGAAUAAUGUUCUGCACGGGGGGAGAAGCAUUGUGCUUUGCUGUGGAUGAAUUUAACGCCAGCAAGCAGCCUGCUGCAGUUCUGUGGCCACUUGGAGAGAUCAGCAUCAACGUGUGCAGUAGGAAACGCUCCGAGCCACCGGCCCUCGUGUGACUGAUCCUCCUGCUCCACAGUGGCCCUUCUGCUCUUGACAGCGCUGCGUGCUGCUGCACCGAGAGGCUGAUUUCUGUUUUGACUGUUGUCAUGCUGGCUCGCAAAGCGUAAGGUUUUGAAGGCUUUCCCCAGAAGCAGACACAGGGGAAGGCUGAGCUCCGUCCUGCUCGAAUGGAGCCUCACUGCAUUACACCAGAUCUGGAUCUGGCCCCGUUACGCUGCAGGACGUGCUGAGGCUUCAAUCAAGCGCGCUGUUUCACUUGAAGGAGAGCUGGCUGCCUUUGUCUGCAGGGCUCAGACUUUGGGAUCCUGAGUCCAAGGUGCCCGUAGGUGCCUCUCCACCAGAACCAAGUGCUUGACACCAGCAAGUGCUGCUUCUCUCAGAACUGGGACUUUUGGUCACAGCGGCAGGACAGCGACACGGGUCACUGCAGAGGCCGGAGACAGCCAAAAGAAGAGGAAGGGAGUUCCUGAAAAGCCAGGGCUUUGCCAAAACGAGGUGCUCUGACUUGUAGCACAGUGGCCUAGCAUCUUUUUGGUACCUUUGCAAAGGAAACAGCAGGCCCUGCAGGGGUGGUCGGUGUUGGGAGGGAUGCCCUCCUGGUCCACCUGCGAGGCUUUGGGUGCAAUGCUUGCAAACAGGGGCUGUGUGGGAGCAGGAUUGGGCGACCUGGCCCAGCACCUCCUGAGGACAACUGGCACAGGUCUCUUGGAUUCAGCACAUCCUGAAUUUUGUAGGCGUUCAACCAAAAUCCCCCAAAAUUCAGAAGGUGGAGCUGCACUUGAGAAUUUCACUUCCUUUUUCACCACUGAUGACCCGGGGCAGGGAUGGGGGGUAAGGAGCACAGUCAGUAAAGCGAGGCAGGCUCGUUUGGCCUUGGCCUUAGGGGACAGCAGUGUCACCAGCAGAGCGAAAGGCCCAGACAUGGGGGUGCCACCAGCCGGGGGGGGGAGAGCCGGAGCCGUGCCCUUUCCCCCAGAGCAGCCACGUGCCCUGCAGCACGCCCGCAGAGGAGGAGGAAGAGGAGGAAGGAAGCCCUUCUGCGUAAGCGGCUGCUCUGGGAUGUGCAAAAGUAUUUGGUGACCUUUACCCGGCCCAAUUUUUCUGUGCAGAAAGCACAGCCAGUGCCUCCUAUGUAUCUGUGCUUUGUGCAAGCAGUAAGAAGCAGGAGGAUCUAUUUUCCUUUUCAGUGCGGUGAUGUUUGGAAGCCUAGAGGGUAGCAAGGGUAGCGAGAUUUAGGGACAAGCAUUUACAUCAGAGUUCACUUCAAGAAUGCGCUCGAAAAAUCUGUCCCAGGUCAGCCUCAGGGUGCUGGGCUUGUCAGUGGUGGUUUGGGUAGGAAGGCCAGGCGCUGCCCACCCACGGAGAAGUUGGAGCAGAGCUCGCUGGCCUGGGAGACGGAGGUAUCUUUUGUAGUAAGUAAAUGCAGCAAGAAAUAGGAAGAAUGGAAAUCAGUUUCCCAAUUAAAUUUAAUCCAGGCUUAGCAUGGCAUCGGUUUAGUGGCCAGUGGACCAGAUCUACCUUACCAGAUGUUGGCACAGGGACUAGGAUGGUGAUCUCUUCCGAUAAAGCCACGCUAGUGUGUUUCGAUUCCCUUCCAAAACUGAUUUUUAGACAGCCUGAGAACCGUGAUAGGUUUGCUAGUACGUUUGUUUUUUUUUUUAAGCUGACUAAGGGCAUGUUUGAAGGCACGCCUUCCUUAACAAAAUAUUUAGGGAAAGGAUCUGCUUCUAAAAUCAGCAGAGGAGUUAUCUCAGGAAGCCUAGCUCUCCAAAACACGAAUCGCAGCUCCUUUCCUAGCCUUCAGACAAUCACCUUUUGGCAUUCCCCAGCCUCUAUUUGCACUGUUCCUUUUUCCCUUACUGAAAUAAUGCUUUCCAACAGCAGGCACCUGGGACAGGCAAACACUGAAACCACUACAUCUGUUUGUCCCUGGAGUCCUUAUCAGGGCUAGGAAAUUUUUUACUAAGGGGUUUUCCCAUCCAGUUUCUGUUUUCCUCCUCCUGUACCCAGUCCUGCUGUAUUCCCUACAAACUGCCCGUUCUGUAGGGGCAGCAAGCCCGCUUGUGGUCUCCCUCCAGCCCUACCUCCCUCCUUGGGCAGGGUCAGCUACAGCAGGUUGCCAGUGACCAAAUUCAAUCAGGUUUGGGGUAUCUCAGUUGUUUUUCGAUGUGGGGAGGUGUUCCAUUAAACUGUAGCGGAAAGAGGCUGCAAAAGAAGCCUUCACAAAGCACCAGAGGGCACAGCUGCUGCCCGUUGGGCCCACAUAGGUACGUUUAGUAGGGGCAUUUCCCACCCUCAGGCUCCUCAUUUUGUCAGGAAGAUGUUUUCCUAUAACACAGAGAGAAGUGAAAGAACCACUAUCAACUGCUGCCAUUUCCU